rnacentral:rRNA from 1 species
UAGUGAGUUUGAUCCUGGCUCAGAUUGAACGCUGGCGGCAUGCCUAACACAUGCAAGUCGAACGAGACCUUCGGGUCUAGUGGCGCACGGGUGCGUAACGCGUGGGAAUCUGCCCUUGGGUUCGGAAUAACAGUUAGAAAUGACUGCUAAUACCGGAUGAUGUCUUCGGACCAAAGAUUUAUCGCCCAAGGAUGAGCCCGCGUAGGAUUAGCUUGUUGGUGAGGUAAAGGCUCACCAAGGCAUCGAUCAGUAGCUGGUCUGAGAGGACGAUCAGCCACACUGGGACUGAGACACGGCCAGACUCCGUACGGGAGGCAGCAGUGGGGAAUUUCCGCAAUGGGGCGAAAGCCUGACGGAGCAAGACCGCGUGA